rnacentral:rRNA from 1 species
GACGAACGCUGGCGGCGUGCUUAACACAUGCAAGUCGAACGGAAAGACCCUGAUCUUGUGGGGUGCUCGAGUGGCGAACGGGUGAGUAACACGCGAGUAACCUGCCCUUGACUUUGGGAUAACUUCAGGAGAAAGGGGCUAAUACCGGAUAGGAGCUCUUGCUGCACGGUGGGGGUUGGAAAGAUUCGGCGGUUGGGGAUGGACUGGAGGCUUAUCAGCUUGUUGGUGGGGUAGUGGAUGACCAAGGGUUUGAAGGGUAGGCGGCCUGAGAGGGUGACCGGCGACAAUGGGACUGAGAGACGCAGCAGACUCCUACGGGCGGCAGCAGUGGGGAGUAUUGCGCAAUGAGCGGGAGUCUGUGACGGCAGCGCUGCGUGCGGGAUGCCGGCCUUCGGGUUGUGAACCGCUUUCGCAUGUGACGAGGCGUGAGUGACGGUAAUGGGUAAAGAAGCACCGGCUAACUACGUG